rnacentral:rRNA from 1 species
AUUGAACGCUGGCGGCAGGCCUAACACAUGCAAGUCGAGCGGAUGAAGGGAGCUUGCUCCUGGAUUCAGCGGCGGACGGGUGAGUAAUGCCUAGGAAUCUGCCUGGUAGUGGGGGAUAACGUCCGGAAACGGGCGCUAAUACCGCAUACGUCCUGAGGGAGAAAGUGGGGGAUCUUCGGACCUCACGCUAUCAGAUGAGCCUAGGUCGGAUUAGCUAGUUGGUGGGGUAAAGGCCUACCAAGGCGACGAUCCGUAACUGGUCUGAGAGGAUGAUCAGUCACACUGGAACUGAGACACGGUCCAGACUCCUACGGGAGGCAGCAGUGGGGAAUAUUGGACAAUGGGCGAAAGCCUGAUCCAGCCAUGCCGCGUGUGUGAAGAAGGUCUUCGGAUUGUAAAGCACUUUAAGUUGGGAGGAAGGGCAGUAAGUUAAUAUCUUGCUGUUUUGACGUUACCAACAGAAUAAGCACCGACUAACUUCGUG